rnacentral:rRNA from 1 species
AUUGAACGCUGGCGGCAUGCUUUACACAUGCAAGUCGAACGGCAGCACAAACUUCGGUUUGGUGGCGAGUGGCGAACGGGUGAGUAAUGCAUCGGAACGUGUCCUGAAGUGGGGGAUAACGCAUCGAAAGAUGCGCUAAUACCGCAUAAUCUCUGAGGAGAAAAGUGGGGGAUCGAAAGACCUCAUGCUUUUGGAGCGGCCGAUGUCUGAUUAGCUAGUUGGUAGGGUAAUGGCCUACCAAGGCGACGAUCAGUAGUUGGUCUGAGAGGAUGGCCAGCCACACUGGGACUGAGACACGGCCCAGACUCCUACGGGAGGCAGCAGUGGGGAAUUUUGGACAAUGGGCGAAAGCCUGAUCCAGCAAUGCCGCGUGAGUGAAGAAGGCCUCGGUU